rnacentral:misc_RNA from 1 species
GGAAGGAUCAUUAACACUUGAUCGAACACCAAACCACCUCUCUUUUUUUUGGGGAGCACUCUUAGGAGUGCUUUCCAAGAAAAAGAGGGGAAACACCUCAAUUGUUAAAGUUUCUAACCGUAUUCUCACUGCCUUUAGUGGCUUGUGUGAAUAUUGGUUACACUUUUAUUAUAAACCACUUCCAUAAAUAUAAAAGUAAUAUUUUUUGUUAUAGGCAAUCUUUCGGGGUUGCUUAUAUCGAACAAAAAGAUAAAUAUAACAAAAAGACGACUUUUAACAACGGAUAUCUUGGCUCUCGCAACGAUGACGAGCGCAGCGAAAUGCGAUACGUAAUGUGAAUUGCAGGAUUCAGUGAAUCAUCAAAAUCUUGAACGCAACUUGCGCUGGUGGUUCCGCCAUCAGCAUGCCUGUUUGAGUGUCGGUCUUAACAUUCAAAAAAAAAAAAAAAACAAAAUUCGUUUUGGUUUUUUUUUUGGAACUGAGCAUGUUUCACACUCGCAAGAGAGUGAAUCGCUUUAAAAGACCGAGGGAUCGAUACAAUUGGUAUACCAAAAGGAAAGAACAACAAAAACCUCUUGUGAACUGUAACUAUCGUUGAUAACAUUCGUGUUUCAAGCCUGAUAAAUUGCAGUCGUUUGAGAAACGUUCUCUCCCUGCUGAUUGUUUUUAUUGAUCUCCAACGCAAAACGAAUCUAAAGCAUGUAUGUGCUUAUAGGUUCUAAAAUGCACACUAUUCAAAACAGUGUGCGUUGACUGUUUUAAUUUAAAGCUUUUGCUUAGAAAAACAUUCGACCUCAAAUCAGGCAAGGGUACCCGCUGGACUUAAGCAUAUUAUUAAGCGGAGGAAAAGAAAACUAACCAGGAUUCCCCUAGUAAGGGCGACUGAAGCGGGAACAGCUCAGAUUUGAAAUCUUUGGGGUUAGACCUCAACGAAUUGUAGUUUUGUGAACGAGCAUUCACGGACGGGUGGUCGCGGUUUUAAGUUUCCUGGAAAGGAACGCCAGAGAGGGUGACAGCCCCGUGUACAACUGCGAUGGCGAAAAAGCGCCCGUCAACACGUGUUGCCGUUUCGAAGAGUCGGGCUGCUUGGGAGUGCAACCCCAAAAUAGGUGGUAAAUCUCAUCUAAAGCUAAAUACGGGCGAGAGACCGAUAGCGAACAAGUACCGUGAGGGAAAGAUGCAAAGAACUUUGAAAAGAGAGUUAAAAGUGCUUGAAAUUGUUAAAAGGGAAGCGAUUGGAAGCAGUCACUGCCCUGCGUUCAUUCAGGUUCGGCGGGUGGGUGUGCGGUUUGGCGCGAGGGGUCCCUGGUGGCCUCCGCGGCGGGCGGCACGACUUGUUCGGCGGGCUGCACUUGAGCGCGCGGGCGUGUCAGCGUGAAUCGGUUGCGCGGUAGAAUAGCGGCGGGAAGGUGCCAUGGCGAGCAAUCGCUGUGGGUUAUAGCCCGCGGCCGGAUGCCGUGUGUUGCCGAUUGAGGCGUGGUCAACCACGUAGGGAGGCCUCCUUUAAUGGGGUGGCCAGCCGGUGCGCCGGUGUGUGGCGGCGGUGCAGACAGCUAAGCUGUGUGUGUCGGCGGUCCAUGUGCUGCUCGUGCUGGUGCGCACACGAAUCCUCCCAGAGACCGCAUGACGAAAUGCUUUCCAUCGACCCGUCUUGAAACACGGACCAAGGAGUCUAACAUGUGUGCGAGUGCUUGGGUGGAAUUAAAACCCGGGACGCGUAAUGAAAGUGAAGGGCGCCGCAAGGCCCCGAGGUGGGAUGCCCCCUCAACAAGGGCAGCACCAUCGACCGAUCUUGAUAAUUUGGAUAGAUUUGAGUGUGAGCACACCUGUUGGGACCCGAAAGAAAGCGAACUAUGCUUGCAUAGGGUGAGGCCAGACGAAAGUCUGGUGGAGGCUCGUAGCGAUACUGACGUGCAAAUCGUUCGUCAAAUGUGAGUAUAGCGGCGAAAGACUAAUCGAGCUUUCUAGUAGCUGGUUUCCUC